rnacentral:rRNA from 1 species
GAUAAACGCUGGCGGCGUGCAUGAGACAUGCAAGUCGAACGAAGGAUCGGGCUUGCUCGAUCCUUAGUGGCGGACGGCUGAGUAACGCGUAGGUGACCUACCCCGAAGUGGGGAAUAACUGUCCGAAAGGGUGGCUAAUACCGCAUGUGGUCGCACGUUCAUUCGUGCGAGUAAAGCCGCAAGGCGCUUCGGGAGGGGCCUGCGUCCGAUUAGCUCGUUGGUGGGGUAAUGGCUUACCAAGGCGACGAUCGGUAGGUGGUCUGAGAGGACGAUCACCCAGACUGGGACUGAGACACGGCCCAGACUCCUACGGGAGGCAGCAGUCGGGAAUUUUGCUCAAUGGGGGAAACCCUGAAGCAGCAACGCCGCGUGAGGGAUGAAGGCCUUCGGGUUGUAAACCUCUUUUGUCAGGGACGAUGAUGACGGUACCUGGCGAAUAAGCCACGGCUAACUACGUG